rfam:Camelus ferus unplaced genomic scaffold scaffold4359, whole genome shotgun sequence.
GAGAGGAUAGCUCAGUGGUUGAAUGCAUGCUUAGCAUUCAUGAAGUCCUGGGUUCAAUCCCUAGUACCUUCA